UACGUAGGGGGCAAGCGUUGUCCGGAUUUACUGGGCGUAAAGGGCGCGUAGGCGGCCAGCGCAAGUCAGUUGUGAAAUCUCCGGGCUUAACUCGGAAAGGUCAACUGAUACUGCGCGGCUAGAGUGCGGAAGGGGCAACUGGAAUUCUCGGUGUAGCGGUGAAAUGCGUAGAUAUCGAGAGGAACACCUGCGGCGAAGGCGGGUUGCUGGGACGACACUGACGCUGAUGCGCGAAAGCCAGGGGAGCGAACGGG
rnacentral:rRNA from 1 species